GACGAACGCUGGCGGCGUGCUUAACACAUGCAAGUCGAACGGAAAGGCCCUGCUUUUGUGGGGUGCUCGAGUGGCGAACGGGUGAGUAACACGUGAGUAACCUGCCCUUGACUUUGGGAUAACUUCAGGAAACUGGGGCUAAUACCGGAUAGGAGCUCCUGCUGCAUGGUGGGGGUUGGAAAGUUUCGGCGGUUGGGGAUGGACUCGCGGCUUAUCAGCUUGUUGGUGGGGUAGUGGCUUACCAAGGCUUUGACGGGUAGCCGGCCUGAGAGGGUGACCGGCCACAUUGGGACUGAGAUACGGCCCAGACUGCGACGGGAGGCAGCAGUGGGGAAUAUUGCACAAUGGGCGGAAGCCUGAUGCAGCAACGCCGCGUGCGGGAUGACGGCCUUCGGGUUGUAAACCGCUUUCGCCUGUGACGAAGCGUGAGUGACGGUAAUGGGUAAAGAAGCACCGGCUAACUACGUG
rnacentral:rRNA from 1 species